ACCAAAUCCGCUAACAUCACUAUGUGCUCGCUGAGAUCAAACCCGACAGAACGUGAAAAUAUGGCGUCUUUUACAGAUGAAUACUUGGCAACACCGUAACAAACAAAACAUCAAACUCGACAAUGUCGUGUAAAGUGCAGAGCAGGUAGACACAGAUGAGAAGAUAGAUGGAAACCACCGACCAUAUGACCGUCCCAUACAGAACAAACAACCACAGGUUACCCACAGGUUCCCUCUGCAUCCUUACUUCGGGACAAACAGCAGACAGGAGAGAGAGUCUCAUCUCCAGUGCAGCACCCUUGAGGAAAUUGUGGGCUGAAGGAAGCAGCGGACGAUCCAAGCCGAGGCCGGAAUAACGUCUCGAGUGCAGAUUGAUCCAGAACACUGUGGGAUUAUCAAGAGAGCCGGAAGAGCUUGGUCCUCACACUAUAGCUGAGGCAAAGCCAGAACCCAGAGCCAAUUACUUCCAUUUAUGAAAUAUGAUAUCUAGAAUUUUAUUCUGGAUAAAGUGAGAACAUUUGAGA